UGGUGGAGCGAUUUGUCU
rnacentral:siRNA from 1 species